AUGUCAACCUGACAUAACCUUAACCUGUUUGGCUGUUUUUUUUUUCCGCACUAAUCAAAACAAAAGCAUGCGUCGUUGUGUUCAACAACAUCGAUCGCACGAAGAAAUCUAAAGUUUACCCGAUUAAACUUACGAAACUCUAAAAUAAUGAGUGAAUCUUACAGGACCAAACAUAACAAUGCAAACAAAACUACACUCUUUGUUGAACUAAAACCCAUGAUAAACCACUGAUCAAACCAUCCACUGUGACAAAACGUUCACAAUCCCUCACUACUUAUAUACCAAAGUUACUAUUCUACAAUAAGAUAUGACAUACUUUGUGAAUGCUGAUGAUGAUGAUGUUCUAUAUUUGACAACCAAACUCUGAGACUAUAUACUAUGAAGUAAACAUCCUGACUCAGGUGAAGAAGUGUAUUGCAACCGUGCUCAAAAUAGGAA